GACGGGUACAAUAGCACAUGCCUGUAGUCUCAACUACUUGGGAGGCUAAUGUGGGAGGAUCACUUGAGCCCAGGAGUCCUGGGCUAUAGUACACUAUGCCUACUGGAUGUCCACACAAAGUUUGGCAUCAAUAUGGUGACCUCCUGGCAGUGAGGGACCCACAAGGGCGACUCUUGCCUAAGAAGGGUGACCUGGUCUACGUCAGAAACAGAGCAGUUCAAAACUCCUGUGCUGAUCAGUAGUGGGAUAAAAAUCUGUGAAUAGCCAUUGUACUCCAGCCUGGGCAACAUAGCAAGACCCCAUCUCU
rnacentral:SRP_RNA from 1 species